GAGUGACCUUCACUGAACAGCCUUCACUUUCAUUAUGACGUUGUUGAGGUUUGGUGGCCAGGACCGAGACGACCCGUGGUAUUUCUGGAGCAGAGGAAUUCUGGCGUCGCCACAAUACAUCUGACGGACCUCUUCAGGGAAUGGCCUGCAGUGAUGCCAUCUUCCUUUUCCUGGAUCACGUCUCCACCCGGAGACCCCGGUCUCUGCAGGAUGAGAUAAGGAAACAGAAACCCAGUAACUUUAAGUGCAAUAACUUGCCAAAGCUCAUCCCUGCACCCUGCCCAGAAAAGUACUGAGAAGCUAUGGGUCUACCCAACGGACUAGAGUCUCAGCUGCUUCCUUGUCCCAGCUCCUGGAAACUGGCUACU
rnacentral:lncRNA from 1 species